rnacentral:rRNA from 1 species
GACGAACGCUGGCGGCGUGCUUAACACAUGCAAGUCGAACGGAAAGGCCCUGCUUUUGUGGGGUGCUCGAGUGGCGAACGGGUGAGUAACACGUGAGUAACCUGCCCUUGACUUUGGGAUAACUUCAGGAAACUGGGGCUAAUACCGGAUAGGAGCUCCUGCUGCAUGGUGGGGGUUGGAAAGUUUCGGCGGUGGGGGAUGGACUCGCGGCUUAUCAGCUUGUUGGUGGGGUAGUGGCUUACCAAGGCUUUGACGGGUAGCCGGCCUGAGAGGGUGACCGGCCACAUUGGGACUGAGAGACGGCGCAGACUCCUACGGGAGGCAGCAGUGGGGAAUAUGGCACAAUGGGCGGAAGCCUGAUGCAGCAACGCCGCGUGCGGGAUGACGGCCUUCGGGUUGUAAACCGCUUUCGCCUGUGACGAAGCGUGAGUGACGGUAAUGGGUAAAGAAGCACCGGCUAACUACGUG